GUGACCCAGCAGUGACUCCUGCCUCCGGUGCCGGGCCCACCCCUCGACUGGCGGAAGUGAUGUGCCCGGAAUUCUGCAUGCCCAGCCUGAGUCAGCGCUUGAGCACAAGAUCACGUCGUCUUUUGGGGUUAUGUUCAAAACCAUCACCUGGGGGCCGUAUCUUCAUCUCAGCUCUCCUGGUGACCUCCUACAAAUUUCCCUGCUUCGCUGGGCCAGGGGAGGGCAAGGUGGGCCCCUGGCUCCCGCACAUCCUCAAGCCAGCCACCCUGGGGAAGAGCUAA
rnacentral:lncRNA from 1 species